rnacentral:lncRNA from 1 species
UUGUAAUCAAAGUUUAAUUUAUGUUAUAUUUUGUUAGCCUAUUAAAAAAGCUAUUUUUGAAAUUCAAUUAAAAUAAAUAAUUAGUCUUAAUAAAAAAAUAAAUAAAUAAAUAAACUAGUUAAAUUUUAUAUUAUACAUAUAUAUUUUUUCAAUUCAAUUUGCAAAAUAUCUAAGCUGAAAUUCUAUGUCUAUUUUAAUGAUUGCUCCAAGUAUACAACUUGUUAAUCGUUUGGAAUUGUACAAAUAACAUUUAACUAUAAAUCUUUUUUGUAAAAAAUAUAUUUUUCUAUAUAUUUAUAUUUUAAAGUAAAUUUCAAUCUUAAAAAUUUAAGUUUUAAUAUUUUAAAAAAUAUGUAAAAUGUUAAAAAUAUAAAUAGAUGUUGAAUUAGUCAUAUUUAAUAUAUUUUUUAUUAUUUCUUUAGUAAAUCAAGGAAUCUU